ensembl:lncRNA
GCGUGCUGCAGCACAGCUCCCGCUCCCUCCCGCCCCCCAGUAAGCCCUGCUGUUCCCCAGCUCCUCGCAAGUAUCAGCAGACCCACAGGAGCCCCACGGUGCUGCUCCACAUCUCCCUGCUGGAUAUCCACAUGCUCUGCUAUUGCCAUAUCCAUGGCAGCCGCUAUGAAGAGCACUGGGCUGUAGCACCUUCUCCUUGAGGACUUCCCACAUGGCUGCUGCUGUUGGCAUCAGACCUUGUCUCUUCCCAUGUGAAAACCCACCAAAACCCAGCCAAGUUACAAACCUUCUGAAAGCAGGGACAUUUUGACAAUCAUUACCCCAUGUCUGCCCUCUGGUGAGUGAUAAAUGGCCACUGCUGCCACAGUUCGGGAACUGUAUUCGUUUACUCUCUCAGCUCCCUUACUUUUGCUAAAUGAAAGAGGGAGUUAAUGAUAUUUGGGUGAUGAGACCCUGGCACAGGCUGCCCAGAGGAGCUGUGGGUGCCCUAUCCCUGUAGGCACUGAGGCCAGGUUGGAUGGGCCCUGGGCAGCCUGGUCUGGUGGGAGGUAUUCCUGCCCACGAUGAGGGGUUUUGAACUGGGUGGGCUUAAAGGUCCCUUCCAACCCAAACCAUUCUAAGAGUCUACAAUUCUGUAAUUCUGUGUUUGUAUGAUGCACCUGAUGGAGUCAGCCGGUGGCUUCCAGACAUCCCUUGACACACAGCCCAUGCAUGUACACGUGCACACUUUCACAUGACUGCACAGGCCUUUGUUUCAUUUAGUAAGACUUAGGAGGAGUGGCUGAGGGAACUAAGGCUGCUCGGUACAGAGGAAAAGAGGUGAGGGGAGACCUCAUCACUCUGUACAACCACCCAGCAGGAGGCUGCAGUAAGGAGGUUGUUGGUCUCUUUUCUCAGGUGAUAAGUGAUAGGAUGGCAGGCAACAGCCUCAUGCUGCACCAGCAGAGGUUUAGAUUGGAUGUUAGGAAGAUUUCCUUCAUGCAGAGGGUGGUCAAGUGUCGCCCAAAGGUGGUGCUUCUCAGCAGGCUGUCCCCCAGUCCCGGUGCUCCAAGCCCUGCAGGCUCUGCUCCCAGUCUCCCAGGUUUCAUAGUCCAGUUCAACAAAUAGCUGGCAAGAACAAGGAGAAGAGCAAAGGUGGACAACACAUCUUCAAGGAGGCCUUGGUUGCUUUGGUCUCACAAGCACUGAGCUGAAAAGGCCCAGUGAGCUUCGCACACGCUGGCUGGAGACCUGAGGGGGCCUCACCAUGGACAUGCGUGAGUGGCCUCUGCCAAUGCACUUCGCCUUUAUAGGCAGGGGAGCAAUGAGGCACUCGGUCACAGCUGAACACACUGAAUGGGGGAGACACUGGUGUGUUGCACUGUAUGUAGAUCA